rnacentral:lncRNA from 10 species
GGAAUUUAAAACAGUGACUAGCUCUCAAGCUACCACAAGUUCUGCCUUGGGCAGUUGACAAUGCCAGUUUUAUGGAAACCUCCCCACUGUAUUCCUCCCUAACCUGCAGUAUAAAACAAAAGCUUCACUGAACAGUUUCCAGAGCAGAACUUCUUUUCUUCUUCACAAAAUAGGUCUCACCCUUGGGUAAAUAAUAGGUGGCACAUGCAAACAGUUGUCUGGGGAAGCUGUUUAUUUGUUUGUUUUUAUGUACUCUGAGCAACAGAAUUUAGAAGCCAGCUCUCUUGUGUCCACCAAGUUCAGGCACAUGAAAGGGAACAUAGUGCUUGCUUUGGCAGCGUGUACACUAAAAUUGGAACAACAGAGAGAAGAUUAGUAUAGCCCCUGCAUGAGGAUGACAUGCAAAUUUGUGGAUCGUUCCACAUUUUUUAAAUUACAAAAAUAAAAAAAAAGAAAGAGAACAUAAGUAGGGAUUUUUUAAAGGAUUGCAAAAGGUUCGGUGAAGAGAAAUGAAAUAUACCACAGAAUGAAUAAUAUGCUAGUUAGUAAAAAAUAUAUGAGUGUUCAACUGAAGUAUGGAUCCUUUCCACAAUAAUGGACAG